UACGGAGGGUCCGAGCGUUAUCCGGAAUCAUUGGGUUUAAAGGGUCCGUAGGCGGGCAGCUCAGUCAGUGGUGAAAGUUUGCAGCUCAACUGUAAAAUUGCCAUUGAUACUGGUUGUCUUGAAUCAUUAUGAAGUGGUUAGAAUAAGUAGUGUAGCGGUGAAAUGCAUAGAUAUUACUUAGAAUACCAAUUGCGAAGGCA
rnacentral:rRNA from 1 species